GGGACCGAGCGGGCGACCGGAACGCCGGCCUGUCACGCCGGAGGUCGCGGGUUCGAGUCCCGUCGCUCCCG
rnacentral:tRNA from 1 species